GACGAACGCUGGCGGCAUGCCUAAUACAUGCAAGUCGAGCGAACGGAUGAAGUGCUUGCACUUCUGACGUUAGCGGCGAACGGGUGAGUAACACGUAAGGAAUCUACCUAUAAGCGGGGGAUAACAUUCGGAAACGGGUGCUAAUACCGCAUAAUAUCUUCUUCCGCAUGGAAGAAGAUUGAAAGACGGCUCUGCUGUCACUUAUAGAUGACCUUGCGGUGCAUUAGUUAGUUGGUGGGGUAAUGGCCUACCAAGACGAUGAUGCAUAGCCGACCUGAGAGGGUGAUCGGCCACAUUGGGACUGAGACACGGCCCAAACUCCUACGGGAGGCAGCAGUAGGGAAUCUUCCGCAGUGGGCGAAAGCCUGACGGAGCAAUGCCGCGUGAGUGAAGAAGGCCUUCGGGUCGUAAAACUCUGUUAUAAGAGAAGAACAAAUUGUAGAGUAACUGCUACAGUCUUGACGGUAUCUUAUCAGAAAGCCACGGCUAACUACGUGCCAGCAGCCGCGGUAA
rnacentral:rRNA from 1 species